CACGUAGGGCGCAAGCGUUGUCCGGAAUUAUUGGGCGUAAAGAGCUCGUAGGCGGUCUGUUACGUCUGCUGUGAAAACCCAGGGCUUAACCCUGGGCUUGCAGUGGAUACGGGCAGACUAGAGGCAGGUAGGGGAGAAUGGAAUUCCCGGUGUAGCGGUGAAAUGCGUAGAUAUCUGGAGGAACACCGGUGGCGAAGGCGGCAUCCUGGACCAACACUGACGCUGAGUGAGCGAAAGCCAGGGGAGCAAACGGG
rnacentral:rRNA from 1 species